rnacentral:tRNA from 1 species
GAGGGUAUAGCUCAAGUGGUAGAGUGCAUGCGUGGCAUGCAUGAGGUCCUGGGUUCAAUCCCCAGUACCUCCU